rnacentral:SRP_RNA from 1 species
GCCGGGUGCGGUGGCGCGUGCCUGUAAUCCAAGCUACCGGAAGGCUGAGGUUGGAGGAUCGUUUAAGGUCAGGAGCUCUGAGCUGCAGCAGGCUGUGUCGAUCGGGUAUCCACACUAAGUUCGGCAUUGAUAUGGUGAUCCUCGGGGAGCCCGGGACCACCAGGUCGCCUAAGGAGGGGUGCCCAGGUCGGAGACGGAGCAGGUCAAAGCCCCCGUGUCGCUCAGUAGUGGGAUGGUGCCUGUGAAUAGAUGCUGUAGCGCAGACUGAGCAAUACAGCGAGACCCAAUCUUU